GCCUAAAGAGAAGGGAGACUCUUUCAGCUCUCCCCAUCUAUCUGGGUGACUUUGGUUAGGGUUUCUUUACCAUGACAGAGGGACAGGGUGUAAAGCAGAGUUGAACAGAACAGAGGCCAGAGGAGCCCAGCAAGAAGAUGCAGAGCCCUUGGCCCAGGAGGCUCUAGGCACCAGAGGGGAGGUGAUCCAGGGGGCCUGCCACCUUCUAACAGACAGUCCAGUGCUUCAGGGACCCUGCUGGUAAGAGGUCACUGUUGAGGAGAGAGAAUGUGUGCA